rnacentral:rRNA from 1 species
GGAUUCCCCUAGUAACUGCGAGUGAAGCGGGAAGAGCUCAAAUUUAAAAUCUGGCAGUCUCUGGCUGUCCGAGUUGUAAUUUAGAGAAGUGUUGCCCGCGCUGGACCCGUAUACAAGUCCUCUGGAAUGGGGUGUCAUAGAGGGUGAGAAUCCCGUCUUUGAUACGGACUACCAGUGCUUUGUGGUGCGCUCUCGAAGAGUCGAGUUGUUUGGGAAUGCAGCUCAAAAUGGGUGGUAAAUUCCAUCUAAAGCUAAAUACAGGCGAGAGACCGAUAGCGAACAAGUACCGUGAGGGAAAGAUGAAAAGAACUUUGGAAAGAGAGUUAAACAGUACGUGAAAUUGCUGAAAGGGAAACGCUUGAAGUCAGUCGCGUUGUUCAAGAAUCAGCCUUGCUUUCUUGCUUGGUGUACUUUUUGUUCAAUGGGUCAACAUCAGUUUUGACCACUGGAUAAGGGCCAGGGAAAUGUGGCAUCUUUAGAUGUGUUAUAGUCUCUGGUCAUAUACAGUGGUUGGGACUGAGGAACUCAGCAUGCCGAAAGGACGAGUCUUUUAAGACUACGUUACAUGCUUAGGAUGUUGGCAUAAUGGCUUUAAUCGACCCGUCUUGAAACACGGACCAAGGAGUCUAACAUGCCUGCGAGUGUUUGGGUGGAAAACCCGAGCGCGUAAUGAAAGUGAAAGUUGAGAUCUCUAUCAUGGAGAGCAUCGACGCCCAUACCUGAUGUUUACUGACGGAUAUGCGGUAGAGCAUGUAUGUUGGGACCCGAAAGAUGGUGAACUAUGCCUGAAUAGGGUGAAGCCAGAAGAAACUCUGGUGGAGGCUCGUAGCGAUUCUGACGUGCAAAUCGAUCGUCGAAUUUGGGUAUA